GACGAACGCUGGCGGCGUGCUUAACACAUGCAAGUCGAACGAUGAAGCUGGAGCUUGCUCCGGUGGAUUAGUGGCGAACGGGUGAGUAACACGUGAGCAAUCUGCCCUUGACUCUGGGAUAACUGCGGGAAACUGUAGCUAAUACCGGAUACUUUCACUGGAAGGCAUCUUCUGGUGAAGAAAGAAUUUCGGUCAAGGAUGAGCUCGCGGCCUAUCAGCUUGUUGGUGAGGUAACGGCUCACCAAGGCGACGACGGGUAGCCGGCCUGAGAGGGUGACCGGCCACACUGGGACUGAGACACGGCCCAGACUCCUACGGGAGGCAGCGGUGGGGAAUAUUGCACAAUGGGCGCAAGCCUGAUGCAGAAACGCCGCGUGAGGGAUGAAGGCCUUCGGGUUGUAAACCUCUUUUAGCAGGGAAGAAGCGAAAGUGACGGUACCUGCAGAAAAAGCACCGGCUAACUACGUGCCAGCCGCCGCGGUAA
rnacentral:rRNA from 1 species